rnacentral:rRNA from 1 species
AUUGAACGCUGGCGGCAGGCCUAACACAUGCAAGUCGAACGGGUGGCGGACGGGUGAGUUAUGUCUGGGAAACGGCCUGAUGGAUGGGGUUCGCUACUGGAAACGGUAGCUAAUACCGCAUUCCUGCGGAUGUGCCCGGAUGGGAUUAGCUAGUGGUUGGGGUAAAGGCUCACCAAGGCGACGAUCCCGAGCUGGUCUGAGAGGAUGACCAGCCACACUGGAACUGAGACACGGUCCAGACUCCUACGGGAGGCAGCAGUGGGGAAUAUUGCACAAUGGGCGAAAGCCUGAUGCAGCCAUGCCGCGUGUAUGAAGAAGGUCUUCGGGUUGUAAAGUACUUUCAGCGGGGAGGCGUUACCCGCAGAAUAAGCACCGGCUAACUCCGUGCCAGCCGCCGCGGUAAUAC